CUCCAUUCCCCUCCAAUAUGGAGAGAAACUAAUUUCACUCCAUUCCCCUCCAAUCUAAAGAGAAAUCUUUUGGGUCAAAUGCAAGAAGUUGUGAAAUGCAUUUUCUCCUCUUUUCUCUCCCUUUCUCCUCUUUUCUCUCUUCAAUGUAAUGUCCAAACAAGGAAAUUUAAGGAAAUCAAAUUUCAUUUCUUUUUUCUUCUCUCCCUUUGCCUCAAUCCAAACAAAAGGUAAGUUACUGUUUGCUAAGCAUCAUAGUUAUUAAAGGCGCCUUUGUUUCAGGCACAAGGUUCUAGAAAGACAUGUUUUCUUUAUUUCUAUCUUAAGUCAGCACUUUCAUCGACAAAAAUGACAACCAUUUAAACUCAAACCAGCAAACUCAAUUCAAGAUAUAUGCCAAAGAA
rnacentral:misc_RNA from 1 species